UGUCCGUAGGUGAACCUGCGGAGGGAUCAUUACAGAGUUCAUGCCCUACCGGGUCUAUCUUCCACACUAUGUUAUUAUUACCUUGUUGCUUUGGCGGGCCGUUAGGCCCCGGCCCGACUACCGGUCCCGGAUGGUUAGCGCCUGUCCGUGGACUCAAAACCCUGAAUAUUUGUGACGCCUGAGCACUUUAUCAUAGUUAAAACUUUCAACAAAUGAUCUCUUGAUUCUGUCAUAGAUGAAGAAUGCAGCACAUCGGAAGCGCACACGACCGAAACACAC
rnacentral:misc_RNA from 1 species